rnacentral:rRNA from 1 species
AUCCCUAAAUCCAACAAUUUUGGCGGCCUUUAAAACACAUAAAAGGAGUUCGCUUGGUAAAUCGACAGUCCUCGAAAAUUCUACUUUCCCUAAAUCAUGAUUUAGUUUGUAUACCGCCGUCUAGAUGACUUCUAUAAAGGUCUUCAUCAACAGAAAAAGACCUGUUAAGACAGGUCAUGGCACAGCUUAUGGGUUAGUCAUCGCGAUCUACAGUAAAAUAGAUUUAUAGAUUUCAUAUUGCAAGAUCAGUACCUGAAAGAGGAUUUUACAGUAAUAGAGGCUUUUCUUUCCUUUGUGGCCGCUUUUAUGCAGGUGCACAUAUCGCCCGUCGCUCGCGGGA